GACGAACGCUGGCGGCGUGCUUAACACAUGCAAGUCGAACGGAAAGGCCCUGCUUUUGUGGGGUGCUCGAGUGGCGAACGGGUGAGUAACACGUGAGUAACCUGCCCUUGACUUUGGGAUAACUUCAGGAAACUGGGGCUAAUACCGGAUAGGAGCUCCUGCUUCAUGGUGGGGGUUGGAAAGUUUCGGCGGUUGGGGAUGGACUCGCGGCUUAUCAGCUUGUUGGUGGGGUAGUGGCUUACCAAGGCUUUGGCGGGUAGCCGGCCUGAGAGGGUGACCGGCCACAUUGGGAUUGAGAUACGGCCCAGACUCCUACGGGAGGCAGCAGUGGGGAAUAUUGCACAAUGGGCGGAAGCCUGAUGCAGCAACGCCGCGUGCGGGAUGACGGCCUUCGGGUUGUAAACCGCUUUCGCCUGUGACGAAGCGUGAGUGACGGUAAUGGGUAAAGAAGCACCGGCUAACUACGUG
rnacentral:rRNA from 1 species